AACGUAGGGACCGAGCGUUAUCCGGAUUUACUGGGCGUAAAGCGCGUUCAGGCGGUUUGGCAAGUCGGGCAUGAAAUCUCUCGGCUCAACCGGGAGAGGUUGUCCGAUACUGCUGGACUUGAGGGCAGUAGAGGGUGGUGGAAUUCCGGGUGUAGUGGUGAAAUGCGUAGAUAUCCGGAGGAACACCAGUGGCGAAAGCGGCCACCUGGACUGCACCUAACGCUAACACGCGAAAGCUAGGGGAGCGAACGGG
rnacentral:rRNA from 1 species